UGGGGAAUUUUGGACAAUGGACGCAAGUCUGAUCCAGCCAUGCCGCGUGCGGGAAGAAGGCCUUCGGGUUGUAAACCGCUUUUGUCAGGGAAGAAACGAGUUUCUCUAAUACAGAGACUUAAUGACGGUACCUGAAGAAUAAGCACCGGCUAACUACGUGCCAGCAGCCGCGGUAAUACGUAGGGUGCGAGCGUUAAUCUGAAUUACUGGGCGUAAAGCGUGCGCAGUCGGUUAUGUAAGACAGAUGUGAAAUCCCCGGGCUCAACCUGGGAACUGCAUUUGUGACUGCAUGGCUAGAGUACGGGAGAGGGGGAUGGAAUUCCGCGUGUAGCAGUGAAAUGCGUAGAUAUGCGGGGGAACACCGAUGGCGAAGGCAAUCCCCUGGACCUGGACUGACGCUCAUGCACGAAAGCGUGGGGAGCAAAAA
rnacentral:rRNA from 1 species